GCCAGGCAUGGUGGCACAUGCCUGCAGUCUCAGCUACGCAGGAGGAUCACUUGAGCCCAGGAGUUCUGGGCUGUAGUGCGCUAUGCCAAUCAGAUGUCCACACUAAGUUAGGCAUCAAUAUGGUGACCUCCCGGGAUUGGGGGACCACCAGGUUGCCUAAGGUGGGGUGACCCAGCCCAAGUCAGAAAUGGAGCAGGUCAAAACUCCCAUGCUGAUCAGUAGUGGGACUGUGCCUGUGAAUAGUCACUGCACUCCAGACUGGGCAACACAGUGAGAUCCUGUCU
ensembl:misc_RNA Metazoa_SRP Metazoan signal recognition particle RNA